CUACUUAGAAAAUGGUGAUGUAAUACUAUC
rnacentral:piRNA from 1 species